GAUGAACGCUGGCGGCGUGCCUAAUACAUGCAAGUCGAGCGAACGGACGAGAAGCUUGCUUCUCUGAUGUUAGCGGCGGACGGGUGAGUAACACGUGGAUAACCUACCUAUAAGACUGGGAUAACUUCGGGAAACCGGAGCUAAUACCGGAUAAUAUUUUGAACCGCAUGGUUCAAAAGUGAAAGACGGUCUUGCUGUCACUUAUAGAUGGAUCCGCGCUGCAUUAGCUAGUUGGUAAGGUAACGGCUUACCAAGGCAACGAUGCAUAGCCGACCUGAGAGGGUGAUCGGCCACACUGGAACUGAGACACGGUCCAGACUCCUACGGGAGGCAGCAGUAGGGAAUCUUCCGCAAUGGGCGAAAGCCUGACGGAGCAACGCCGCGUGAGUGAUGAAGGUCUUCGGAUCGUAAAACUCUGUUAUUAGGGAAGAACAUAUGUGUAAGUAACUGUGCACAUCUUGACGGUACCUAAUCAGAAAGCCACGGCUAACUACGUGCCAGCAGCCGCGGUAAUACGUAGGUGGCAAGCGUUAUCCGGAAUUAUUGGGCGUAAAGCGCGCGUAGGCGGUUUUUUAAGUCUGAUGUGAAAGCCCACGGCUCAACCGUGGAGGGUCAUUGGAAACUGGAAAACUUGAGUGCAGAAGAGGAAAGUGGAAUUCCAUGUGUAGCGGUGAAAUGCGCAGAGAUAUGGAGGAACACCAGUGGCGAAGGCGACUUUCUGGUCUGUAACUGACGCUGAUGUGCGAAAGCGUGGGGAUCAAACAGGAUUAGAUACCCUGGUAGUCCACGCCGUAAACAAUGAGUGCUAAGUGUUAGGGGGUUUCCGCCCCUUAGUGCUGCAGCUAACGCAUUAAGCACUCCGCCUGGGGAGUACGACCGCAAGGUUGAAACUCAAAGGAAUUGACGGAGACCCGCACAAGCGGUGGAGCAUGUGGUUUAAUUCGAAGCAACGCGAAGAACCUUACCAAAUCUUGACAUCCUUUGACAACUCUAGAGAUAGAGCUUUCCCCUUCGGGGGACAAAGUGACAGGUGGUGCAUGGUUGUCGUCAGCUCGUGUCAUGAGAUGUUGGGUUAAGUCCCGCAACGAGCGCAACCCUUAAGCUUAGUUGCCAUCAUUAAGUUGGGCACUCUAAGUUGACUGCCGGUGACAAACCGGAGGAAGGUGGGGAUGACGUCAAAUCAUCAUGCCCCUUAUGAUUUGGGCUACACACGUGCUACAAUGGACAAUACAAAGGGCAGCGAAACCGUGAGGUCAAGCAAAUCCCAUAAAGUUGUUCUCAGUUCGGAUUGUAGUCUGCAACUCGACUACAUGAAGCUGGAAUCGCUAGUAAUCGUAGAUCAGCAUGCUACGGUGAAUACGUUCCCGGGUCU
rnacentral:rRNA from 1 species